rnacentral:lncRNA from 1 species
AGUGUAGCUUGCCUAUCACCAACGGUCCAGGAUUCGCCAGAAUCAACUGUUUAUUAUCACAAGCACUCAGAAUCAGGUAAAUCUUCUUCUACUGAAUUUAUUUUAUUUGACUAUUGCUUAGAUGAUAUAAUCUUUAAAUUCAAGUCUCUGUAUAUAUGUACCUGAAUGUCUCUUUUUUGGAGAGACUUGUACAAGUCUUCUAAGGCAUGGAUACCACUUGUAUCGAUGUCCGUAACAGCUGAAAAAAAAUAAUGGUGUCCGUGUUAAUCUUCGUUUGUAAGCAAAACAAAAAUAAAAAUUGUGAUAACUAAGAAGGGAUUAAUUAAAAUAAGAUUAAAAUUUAACUUACGUGACAUUUCGAUGAUGAGAAACUGAAUCCUGGGUAGGCUUGCUGCUUUGACUUUUUCUUCUUCCUCAUGUAGCCAUCUCAGGAUCCUAUAAAUUACAAGGGUUUCCGAUUUAACAUUAUUGUGAACCAAGUAACAAGUCUUGGUUUAGAUUAAACUUUUGUUUAAGGUUUCUACCUUUCUCUGACGUAGUUUGAGUUGGAGAAGUAGAUCGCUGAGUCAACACGAAUAGUAAGAACCCCUGGAACCAUAGUGGCUUCAGGAUACUGUUGAAUAUUCCUGUAAACCGAAGUUCUUGGAAUAUUUCCGAGAACUGCAGUUCUAGGUCUUGUUACUUGCAAGAGGAUCUUAGCAAACGAGAUAGAGACCUGUCCAUAAACAAACAUGAGCAAAUUAGACUAAAGAGAACUAGAUUCAUCAUUAUACAUAUAGGGAUUAAUUUUCUUGAGAUGUACCGCAAUGAGAAGUCCAAUCUCAACGGAAACAAAGAUGACGCCAAAGAAAGCUCCCAUACAAGCGAUGAAAUCGAGCUUAUCGACCUUGAAGAUCAAUAUAGCAGCUUGGAUAUCGAUCAAAGGAAUCACGGCGUUGAUGAUGAUAGCCGCGAGGAUGGCGUUUGGAGUGUACUUAAAGAGAGGUGUGAGGAAGAGCAAUGUCAAGAGAACGACGAUUGACAUUAUGAUGUUAGAAACCGCCGUAUGACAUCCAGCCAUGAAAUUGACAGCUGAUCUUGAGAACGAUCCAGUAGCAACGUAGCACGAAGACAUCGAUCCAACUACGUUCAUCAUGCCUAAUGCUACCAUCUCUUUAUUACCGUCGAUUUGGUAGUCUUUCAUCGCUGCAAAGGUUCUUCCAAUCGCCACAGCUUCCUGUCAAAACAUAUUGAAAUAUUCGGGUUUCGAUGAGGAAAAGUUCCUUUAGGACUAUUGGUCUUGAGAGAUUGAAGUCUGAGUCGUUGACUUGGAGCACUUACUGUUAAAGCGACCAUGCCUGCGACUACACCGAUGCGGAUUCCCUUAGCAAGGUUAUCACCGGAGAAGUAUAUUUGGUGGAAAGAGGAAGGGUUUAUGCCUUGGUCAAGGUGUUUCACCUUCAUUCAUCAAAACCGGAGACAUUGUAUUAGGUAUUAACUAAAUGUUUGAGGUGCAAGUAACUACUUAGAGUAGGUUGAUAUCUUACGAUUUGGACUCCUUGUUUGUCUGCCCGGGUUAUGUAGACGAAGAAGGUAGAAAUGAUAACUGAUAUCAAUGGCGCAAUCGCUGGUACCCAGAAAAGUUUUUUGCUCUUCUUCCCCUGUUUCAGCAUCAAACCAAGAGAGAUUAACAUCGAUCAGCUCAUAACAUAAAUGAAGAAACUAUAUAUCUGAUGUUGUGUUAAGAGAUAUAUGUCUUACAAUGAACUUAGAGGUGAGAAGGAAGGUCAAGAAUGAUGCACCAAUGAGUAUAGUUUGCCAAUUCCACUGCAGAGCCAAAAGUGAUAAGUAUUAGUGAAAGGAUUAAAAUGAUGCACAAAAUAAAGAACAGAGUGUUUAGAUUAGAUAAAGCAAAAGAAGGAUUCGUACGCCGUGAUGAGCGGAACUGAAAACGGAGUCAAGAACAUGAAUUAUAUCGGUUUUCUUGGUGAAUUUCUUGAUCCCGAGGAAGCCUUUAAGCUGCUGGAGAGCGAUAGUGAUGGCCGCGCCACCCAUGAAGCCCACCACAGCAGCGUGGGACAGGAAAUCGAUCAAGAACCCUAAUCUGAGAGUAGUAAAGAAGAAAGGUGAACAUUUUAAGAGCCUUUUCCAUAGAAAGAAACUGUUAAUGGAUAAAGAGAUCAAUUUUACCUGAAGAAUCCAAGGGCUGCUUCGGUGAUACCGGCGAAAAACGUGGCAGUGAAGGCAAGGCGGAGAUAUUCAUCAGGAUUUGUGUUUGGAUCAAUCUCAGCUUGAAGCAAAGUGCCUAGCAACAGAGAAACCACAGCAACGGGUCCGAUUGCUAUAUCUCUUGAACUCCCCAUACAAGCAUACACCAACGGAGGAACAAAACUAGAAUCUGUAAAAUCAAAAUCAACCAUAUUAUUUGAUUUUUUUUAGAUUUUAUCCCCUGUUUUUCAAAUGAGGUCAAGUGUGAUUAAUUAAGAGUAAGUCAAUAUCAAACUUACAUAAACCGUAUUUAGGAUCAAGAUUAGCCAACUUAGCGUACCCAAUAUCCUGUAAUGAUCAUGGAAUAUAAGCAACAAAGCAAGCGUAGAUAACUUGUCAUACAAGUAAUAGUGUAAUUGAGUUUAGGUUUUUUCACCUGAGGAAUGCAGAGACUUGCGAUGGUUAAACCGGAGAUGAGAUCGCCUCGGAACUUCUUGAGAUUGUAGUUACGUCCCCAGUCGAAGACCGGGAAGACGGACUGGAGACCAAGCAUGAACUGCUUAGACUUGGGCUGAUCCUUAAAAUCCCUAAGAGGAUCAUCGUGGAAGAAGGUUUCUUUGAAUGUGUACAUGAAAUCCUUGAACAUGUUCUGCUUCGGUGGGAUCCCAACUUUAUGCCGGUGGGGAGAAGAUUUGAUCGGAAGAUCACCACCAUCCGUAGCCGGACUUAAAUCUCCUCCGUCCACAGGGUGAGCUCUCGACGUCAUAGCUAGGUACGUACGUAUCUCUGCAAACAGAACAAUAGACUUAGUUAAGUUAGUUUUAUAAGUUUUAUGAGACUAUGAAAAGAUGUGUGAAUAGAGUAAUGGAAUCGAACCAGGGGAAAGAUAGAUAGAUAGCUGGAAACGUGAGUAAAGUGGAUAUUUUGGGUUUGAAGGUGACUUUUUAAGUGUGGUUUUAGAGCAACAUUUAUGAACCCUUAUUUAUAAUGAAAAUUAUAGGAGACAUUAUUAGCUUUUAUUUAAUUAAAAUUAUAAGCGAGUGUCAUCGUGUACUUGUGAUGAAUCUGGAUUACUAAGAGACCAAGUACAUUACGAAAAUUGAAAAGUCUAACUUGAAAUGGAUGCAAAUUUUUUUAAUAUUUGGCUCGAUCGACAUUAAAUAUAAAAGCAAACCAAGUCAAUGGUUUUUGUGGUUUUGUGUGCAAAAUUGAGAACAAUCUCUAAUUCUCAAUUCAAUGAUCUCGUUUACUUUCUGCCAUUAGGAGAGAUCGUUGACUAGAACAGCCACGUGGCAGAUAGUGAGAUCUUUUAUAAAUAUUAAAUAUGGUAAAUGCUAACAGUUAUCCCUAAAUAAAUGACGAAAAUUUAACGCUAAUUAUUCUCUUUCAGUUUUCAGUACUUUUAAUAGAAUAGUAUUUGGAAUUUCCGAAAUUUUUCAUCGCUUUUGCUUGAACAUAGAGUUUAGAAACAAAACCUAAAAAAACAAACCUAACUGAACAGAAUUUAGAUAGAAGACCUAAGAAACAACAUAUGGGACCUAACUCAUAAGUUCUAUAUCGGUGGUGGUUUUCAAAUAUGAGCUUGAUUGGUAUAUAUAUACUUUUUUUUUGGUAGAAUAUAUAUAUAUAUAUAUACUUGAACAUACUGUAUUUUUAACAUCUAAUGAUGUUUUUAAAAAUUGAGCAUUAAAGAAAGCAUAGGGAUACAGCUAAUUGCAUACAACUUUAGCAGCAUAUAUAUAUUGUUCAUGUUCUAUAAUGGUAAUGUUCUACUAUAACUUGUGCCAAUCAUGCUCUAUGUAUAGGUUGAUGUUAUUAGGUAAAUUGGAGGAUAGCUUGGUUAUUAGAAUGCAUUAAACCAAAAAUGUUAAAAUCAUUCAGUUUCCAGGCAAAAGCUAUAAUAAUAUGUGCAAGUUGAUGCACAGUGGCUGGAUUCUUUCAACAAAAUAGACUCUAUAUAUCGAUAUCAACUAUAAUUUAUAAAUUAUCAAAGCCAAUUUCGAUCACAAAAGCUGGAAAAACAAACAAACAAAAAUCAACGUAACUUUUCUAUUUAUUCUUAAUUUGUAAAGGAAAAACAGAACUUUUUGUUACAAGUUUUAGUUGGAGACAAAGUGAACACCACAUGUUUUGAUGAGUCUCUCUUGACUUUGUAAUGCAGACAGGUAUGAAUGAUAUUGAUAGUGAGUUAAUUAAUACAUCAUUCAAGUUCAAGUCCGAAGCCACAAUUCUAAUUAUAAAAACUUCUCCUGCACCAGAUAACUUCUCAAUAUUUCUCCUACUUCUAUGCAUUAUUGUAUACAGGAUACAGCCAGACAAUUAACACACAAAAAAACAAUUGAAAAAUGCAUCAAAUGAAAGAUUCAAAACCGUGAUAAAAAAAAAGUAAGGUAUAUAUGCACGUGUAUUCUAUAAAUGAGCAAACAAUAAUAUUGAAAAUUAAAAAUAGUUAGUGGGGGUAAACUAACUCUAUAUAUAAAAGAUGCAUAACCAUUGAUAGUUGGAAGGUGAAGCCACCACUUACCUGGAAAAAGAUCAAAAGGCACAAGAAGAAUUCGAUCUCUCUUGUUGUUUUUUUUAUAUAUCCCUUUUUGCUCCAAAGAUCUUUCACGUGAUUGAUUGAUUGAUUUAUUUAUAAAAGCCAAAAGGGAUUUUUGAAGAAACUAGAAAAAAAGAAAAACAAGAACUAAAAAAAGAGAUUUAAGAAUUGAAGAAAAAGUACACGAGAGAGAGACACAGUUACAACCUCCCCUUUUUCUUUUAAGAUUCACUAUUCUUUUCUAUGUUUAAAACCAUAACAAACCUGAAUAAUGUCCAGGUUCACUGAAUCACUCUCUCAUAAUUAUCAAUAUAUGAAACCCUAGUAAGGUCCUGAGAUAUUAGAUUUUACUUUGAGAAACAGGGGCAAAAAAAAAACAAAAAAAAAAAGAAGAGAAAAAAGUAGUAGUAUUUCACAAAACGAGAGGAGAUUUGCGAUUUUAUAAAAUUUGAUUAUUAUAAACGAAAUAAAAUGAAAAUUACAAAGAGAUAAAUACAUGAGAGGUGAUGAUAAUGACAUAAGUUAUGGAAACUAAGCAAAAAGAACAAGAAGUCCGAAGCGGUUCGAUCACUUCUUAUUACGAAAAUGCCACUGGCUCAAAGAAAACGAAAAGGUCAAAAGAAACGAACCGAUGUUUUUGGGGGCUAUAGUUGACUUUUAAUAUAGAAACUUGAAUGUGGACCAAAAUGUGGCUAGGUUCGUCCGUAGUACAUUAACCAUUGACUACGUGUUCGUCACGCGUUAGUUAUAGUGCUUAGCUGGCUACGAGCUAUUGGUUCUCCAUGUUGGUUCACGGCCAGCCGCACACUAGUUCCUUUUUAAUAUUCGUCAACUAUUUUCGUGUAAAAGACGUACUGAUUUUUUUUCUAAACAACUGUUAUAAAUACUCAUAUAGUCUCUGUUUCGAUUUGUAUACGCACGCGCGAUUGAACUGAAUAAUAAGGCAACUAAUUAUUUGUUCAACUAUAUAUCACGACAUCUCAAGCGUAACUUGAGACGCAUAUAUGCUUCAUGGAACAAGUUGAUAAAACCAAAGUACCAAGAAAUAAAAAAACAUCAUGGGAUGUUGUAGGACCAACUGUUUUAGGAUAAUGACUUAUGAGUAUAAUAAUUAUAUGUUAUAUACAUGUAUAUCUGAAAUCUGAUACUAAUUGGUUACGUUUCAAGCAUUACAACUUACAAGCUGUUGUUAUCAUAGAUUUUUGGAAUGUGAGACGAUACCCUAAGGACGACUAAUAAGGCGAUGAUGAAUGUGAAACGAUGGUUUUGUAUACGUGUAAACUAGUUUAUCAUAAUCUUUAGCAUGGCAAUACUUAGUCGUCUUCUUCUUCUUUUGACGUUAUAAAACAUUAGUUUGUUGCAAUUUUGCAUAGCAUUCUUUGAUAUGUUUUAUGCAUUCUUACGUGAC